CACACCCAGGUUCCAGGACUAGCUCUUGGGCAGGACAGAGGGCAUCUCGGCUUGAGGGAGCUACAGAGUGGCUGGGGAUUCAGACACAGGCAUCAGGAAGUCACUUCUGUCUCCUCUCCCUAGUCAACUAGAAAUAUCAAAGGAGACCACCUGGGACCGCACCAAGACAGGACUAGAACUACUUGGGAACCCACCAAAUCACUGGAGAGUGCAAACACGUGUGGCUCGUGGACAGAGAGGAGCCUAAGGAGAGAUUCCUGGGGCUAAAGCCCAUAUCUACUCCUGACAGGCUGGUAACAGUCCCAGUUUACUGGUUGAGGCACCACCUCCAGCCUGUUUUACCAGCAAAAAGACCGCUGAAGGGAGGAGAGGACUCUCCUAAGGCUCACCAAAUGCAACUAAGCAUCUGGUGAAACUGCAGAGAACUGGACUUCGAUGCCCUAAAUAUAACAGCCCAAAUAUUCAAAUAUUCACUGAUUGGGUGACUGCCAUAAAACAGAAGGUUUGAAAAGCACAAGUUAUUAUUAUUAUUUUUUUUUACAAAGUCCCAAUUACAUAUGCCCAAUUUCACCACUCCCAGGAGGCUUCUUCAUUCAGACAGACGGACAGCGAGAGGGAGAGACCCCGCACACACAAGGCACACGUCCCACCCUGUGGGCUAUCUCUGUGGUCCUUCCUGACUUGAUAGGCCCUGCAGCAGGGCAGUGUUCAAAGCCGGGCGGUUUUUCCUGCUCCAUACUAUGCCAGUCAGGGUUUCUUCCUCUUCACCUGCAUCCAGGCUGGAAGGUGCCAGGAAGCUCUAGGGCCUUGUGGUGGCACACCCAGUAAAAGGCACAUGUUACCAUGCGUGAGGACCCAGGCUCAAGACCCUAGCCCUCACCUGUGGGGAGGGGGAGCUUCUUGGGUGGUGGAGUAGUGCUGCGGGUGUCUCCUCUGUCUUUCUCCGUCUUUCUUUCCCUCUCUAUGUCUCUCAGCCUCUGCCAGAAAUGGCCAUUGGGACGGUGGAGUUGCACAGGCAUGGAGACCCAGCAAUAACCCUGAUUGACAGGAACAGAGGAAGAAAGGACUGGGGAGAUAUGCAGAAGGACUUUCCUGCCUGAGGCUCUGAGGUUCCAGGUUGCAUCCCAGCUACAACCAUAAACCAGAGCUGAGCAGUGCUCUGGUAAUAAUACACCGAUUUGAGACAGGCAGAGAGACAGGUAAAACAUCACUCAGCCCCUCACUCACAGCCUGGCAUCACUAGGAGUCCAUGCUGAGCUCCUGCAGACGAGGAACACACUCCCCGUGGCUGGACCAGGAGCUGGGGAGCAUCGUUCCCAUCACACCCCAUCUGCAAAGCCAGCCUGUUGCCACAUGGCGGGAGAAGUCUGGCUCCUGGUGGAAGCCUGAACCUCCAGGACAGAUGUGUUGGUGCCCAUCUGCUGCACUAGAUGGGUGAAAAGGAGAAACAGAGGAAUUACCACCUUCCUUCUGAGUUCUGUUUAAAGAAAUAAAGACGUGAAGCCCUA